AUAGCAAGCAGAGCAAAAAAGACGAUUCUUAUUGCCAGCGCCAUUCGUGAUGAAUGAGGAAGUAAUUGGAGAAUGAAGGAGGAAGAAGCAUUUGCCUUUGACCUCAUCCCACCCCGGAACAUGCCAAUUCUAAUUCGUUGACGGUCAAACCAAAACAUUUCUGAUGGAUAGGUCAUGAAGAGAGGUGAGGAGAUACAUCAUUUACACAAGCGAGCAAUUAGUGGCAUUAUACGAAGAGGUCACAACCUACACUUCUAGUGCUCACUGAACAUUAUUUCAAAUCUUCAUGGAUUCGGAUUCAAAUGUCUUCCUAGUGAAGUAUUGCCUAUUGAUAAGGAGGCUACAUUUCCCUGAAUCCCUCAAUGGCUAUAGUUAUCUAAAAAAUCUAUACCCUUGUCAAAAGACUAUUAUGCCUGUCUUAUACGAACAUGACCUACAGGUUCUUUAAAAGUUAAAUUCCAAAUGAAAAUGUUCAAAAUUGAUGCUGUUAUCAAAAAAAAUUAAUUUUACCAUUUUUGAAGGGGCUCGAUCAUUCUAAAAAUGGCGCGUUGACGUCUUUAUCUCUGAACACGGCCAUGGACAAGCAGUCACGUAUGUGGGUGAAACCACUUUACCUGCAAACGACCCAAAAUAUUCCAUCCCGCCUAUCCAAUUUUUUGGAUACACAUUGAUAGCUUGUAAAACAUAGGAUUUUAAUCUGUGAUUGCAUCAUAUUUAGGUAUAACGCCUUUUCUUACUGGGUUCCUUGGUUGCAUAUGAGAUUUAGUUUGCUAGUUUUGUAACUUAUUCUAUAUUACUGUAUGUAUAUUCAACAUGUGCAUUUGUAUAAUAAAUACAUGUUAACAUUU